rnacentral:misc_RNA from 1 species
GAAAUGCGAUAAGUAAUGUGAAUUGCAGAAUUCAGUGAAUCAUCGAAUCUUUGAACGCACCUUGCGCUCCUUGGUAUUCCUUGGAGCAUGCCUGUUUGAGUAUCAUGAAAUCUUCAAAGUAAAUCUUUUGUUAACUCAAUUGGUUUCUACUUUGGUAUUGGAGGUCUUUGCAGCUUCACACCUGCUCCUCUUUGUUCAUUAGCUGGAUCUCAGUGUUAUGCUUGGUUCCACUCGGCGUGAUAAGUUAUCUAUCGCUGAGGAUACUGUAAAAGGUGGCCAAGGUAAAUGCAGAUGAACCGCUUCUAAUAGUCCAUUGACUUGGACAAUACUUUUAUGAUCUGAUCAAAAUCAGGUAGGACUACCCGCUGAACUUAAGC